rnacentral:rRNA from 1 species
GACGAACGCUGGCGGCGUGCCUAAUACAUGCAAGUUGAGCGCUGAAGGUUGGUACUUGUACCGACUGGAUGAGCAGCGAACGGGUGAGUAACGCGUGGGGAAUCUGCCCUUGAGCGGGGGACAACAUUUGGAAACGAAUGCUAAUACCGCAUAAAAACUUUAAACACAAGUUUUAAGUUUGAAAGAUGCAAUUGCAUCACUCAAAGAUGAUCCCGCGUUGUAUUAGCUAGUUGGUGAGGUAAAGGCUCACCAAGGCGAUGAUACAUAGCCGACCUGAGAGGGUGAUCGGCCACAUUGGGACUGAGACACGGCCCAAACUCCUACGGGAGGCAGCAGUAGGGAAUCUUCGGCAAUGGACGAAAGUCUGACCGAGCAACGCCGCGUGAGUGAAGAAGGGUUUCGGAUCGUAAAACUCUGUUGGUAGAGAAGAACGUUGGUGAGAGUGGAAAGCUCAUCAAGUGACGGUAACUACCCAGAAAGGGACGGCUAACUACGUG